CCUAAAUGGCUUCUGCGUACCACAGUCAGCGGAAGUGAGAAAAAAAGUGUUUAUUGUGUUUGAAAUAUGGAUAUUUAUCUUACAGAAACGCAUGGUUUUGCUACAGGAGGCCUUUAUUCACCCACCAGAGCAGUGUGAUGCCCGUUUUAUUAUGGAUGCAUGCACUUUAUUUCACAUCUUCUGAACUGUUGCCAAAAAACACCCACUUACCCCAUUGAAAGGCUUGGAGGGGCCAGGACAAUUUUUUUUAUAACUUUGUUUGUUUUCGUCUGAAAGAAGAAAGUCAUAUACACCUAGGAUGCCCCAAGGGCAACUGCAAUGAAGCAUCAAGAAAGACACGAGCAGGCCAGCCACCCUGAGACUGACAAGCAUGAGAAGACAUUUCUGUCAAAGUGGAUGGUGAGCAAAGAUGGUGGCCACGUUUUGGAGAGGCACCUGGGUUUUGCAGAUAUUUGUCUUUGGUUGUUUGUCUUCUUUCCCCAUUAUGUUUCUGUUGCCUAAAGAUUCUUUGUGAGGAUGAAUCCAGAGGACACAACAUAACGCACUGCAAAACAUCCUAAGACAGGAGAAAUGGUGAAGAUGCACUGUUCCAGCAUUGGAAGACUGUAUUUUUAUG